CGAACGGGUGAGUAACACGUGGGCAACCUGCCCAAAAGAGGGGGAGUAACACUUGGAAACAGGUGCUAAUACCGCAUAACCAUAGUUACCGCAUGGUAACUAUGUAAAAGGUGGCUAUGCUACCGCUUUUGGAUGGGCCCGCGGCGCAUUAGCUAGUUGGUGGGGUAAAGGCUUACCAAGGCAAUGAUGCGUAGCCGAACUGAGAGGUUGAUCGGCCACAUUGGGACUGAGACACGGCCCAAACUCCUACGGAAGGCAGCAG
rnacentral:rRNA from 1 species